UACGUAGGUGGCAAGCGUUGUCCGGAAUUACUGGGCGUAAAGGGCGCGUAGGCGGCACCUUAAGUCAGAUGUGAAAACCCAGGGCUCAACUUUGGGACUGCAUUUGAAACUGAGGAGCUAGAGUGCCGGAGAGGAAAGCGGAAUUCCUAGUGUAGCGGUGAAAUGCGUAGAUAUUAGGAGGAACACCAGUGGCGAAGGCGGCUUUCUGGACGGUAACUGACGCUGAGGCGCGAAAGCGUGGGGAGCAAACAGG
rnacentral:rRNA from 1 species